rnacentral:tRNA from 1 species
UUCCUGGAGGAUGACUGGUUAGGCCACAGUGCUCUCAACACCGUGGCCUGGGUUCGAUUCCCGGCCAGGGAA